rnacentral:rRNA from 1 species
GACGAACGCUGGCGGCGUGCUUAACACAUGCAAGUCGAACGGAAAGGCCCUGCUUGCAGGGUACUCGAGUGGCGAACGGGUGAGUAACACGUGGGUGAUCUGCCCUGCACUUCGGGAUACGCCUGGGAAACUGGGGCUAAUACCGGAUAGGCGCGAUUUUUAGUGUGAUGGUUGGACAGAAUUUUCGGUGUGGGAUGGGACUGCGGCCUAGCCGCUUGUUGGUGGGGUAAUGGUCUACCAAGGCGGCGACGGGUAGCCGGCCUGAGAGGGUGGACGGGCACAUUGGCACUGGGACUCGGCCCCGACUCCUACGGCUAGCGGCAGCGGCGAUGAUUGAUCUAGCGGCGCGAGCCUGAUGCAGCGACGCCGCGUGGGCGUUGACGGCCUUCGGGUUGGUAUCUCCUUUCGCUAUGGUCGAAGCUUUUUGUGACGGUACCUAGAGAAGAAGCCCCGGCUAACUACGUG